rnacentral:rRNA from 1 species
UUGGAGGGCAAGUCUGGUGCCAGCAGCCGCGGUAAUUCCAGCUCCAAUAGCGUAUAUUAAAGUUGUUGCAGUUAAAAAGCUCGUAGUUGAACUUCGGGAUCAAUGAGUUGGUCGUGCCCUUGGUAUGAACUGGCUUUAUUGGUUCUCACCUUCUAAUGAACCAUAAUGUCAUUCAUUUGAUGUUUUGGGGAAUUAGGACUGUUACCUUGAAAAAAUUAGAGUGUUUAAAGCAGGCUCACGCUUGAAUACAUUAGCAUGGAAUAAUGAAAUAGGACAUCGCAUUCUAUUUUGUUGGUUUCUAGGAUCGAUGUAAUGAUUAAUAGGGAUAGUUGGGGGCAUUAGUAUUCAAUUGUCAGAGGUGAAAUUCUUGGAUUUAUUGAAGACUAACUACUGCGAAAGCAUUUGCCAAGGAUGUUUUCAUUAAUCAAGAACGAAAGUUAGGGGAUCGAAGACGAUCAGAUACCGUCGUAGUCUUAACCAUAAACUAUGCCGACUAGGGAUCGGAUGAUGUUGAUUUUUUAAUGACUUAUUCGGCGCCUUACGGGAAAC